GAUGAACGCUGGCGGCGUGCCUAAUACAUGCAAGUCGAGCGAACAGACGAGGAGCUUUCUCCUCUGACGUUAGCGGCGGACGGGUGAGUAACACGUGGAUAACCUACCUAUAAUACGGGGAUAACUUCGGGAAACCGGAGCUACUACCGGCUAAUAUAUUGAACCGCAUGGUUCAAUAGUGAAAGACGGCUUUGCUGUCACUUUUAGAUGGAUCCGCGCCGGAUUAGCUAGUUGGUAAGGUAACGGCUUACCAAGGCAACGAUGCGUAGCCGACCUGAGAGGGUGAUCAGCCACACUGGAACUGAGACACGGUCCAGACUCCUACGGGAGGCAGCAGUAGGGAAUAUUCCACAAUGGGCGCAAGCUUGACGGAGCAACACCGCGUGGGUGAUGAAGGUCUUCGGAUUGUAAAGCUCUGUUAUUAGGGAAGAACAAAAGUGUAAGUAACUCUGCACGUUUUGACGGUACCUAAUGAGAAAGCAACGGCUAACUACGUG
rnacentral:rRNA from 1 species